AGCAGCCGCGGUAAUUCCAGCUCCAAUAGCGUAUAUUAAAGUUGUUGCAGUUAAAAAGCUCGUAGUUGAAUUUCGGGGUUAGUAAGUUGGUCAUGCCUUCGGUAUGUACUGGCUUUACUGAUUCCUCCUUCUUGACGAACCGUGAUGUCAUUAAUUUGGUGUUGCGGGAAAUCAGGACUGUUACUUUGAAAAAAUUAGAGUGUUUAAAGCAGGCUAACGCUUGAAUACAUUAGCAUGGAAUAAUGAAAUAGGACGUUAAUCCUAUUUUGUUGGUUUCUAGGAUCGACGUAAUGAUUAAUAGGGAUAGUUGGGGGCAUUAGUAUUCAAUUGUCAGAGGUGAAAUUCUUGGAUUUAUUGAAGACUAACUACUGCGAAAGCAUUUGCCAAGGAUGUUUUCAUUAAUCAAGAACGAAAGUUAGGGGAUCGAAGACGAUCAGAUACCGUCGUAGUCUUAACCAUAAACUAUGCCGACUAGGGAUCGGAUGAUGUUAUUUUUAAUGACUCA
rnacentral:rRNA from 2 species